rnacentral:rRNA from 1 species
CCUACGGGAGGCAGCAGUAGGGAAUAUUGCUCAAUGGGGGAAACCCUGAAGCAGCAACGCCGCGUGGAGGAUGAAGGUUUUCGGAUUGUAAACUCCUUUUGUUAGAGAAGAUAAUGACGGUAUCUAACGAAUAAGCACCGGCUAACUCAGUGCCAGCAGCCGCGGUAAUACGGAGGGUGCAAGCGUUACUCGGAAUCACUGGGCGUAAAGAGCGCGUAGGCGGGAUAGCAAGUCAGAUGUGAAAUCCUAUGGCUUAACCAUAGAACUGCAUUUGAAACUGUUAUUCUAGAGUAUGGGAGAGGUAGGUGGAAUUCUUGGUGUAGGGGUAAAAUCCGUAGAGAUCAAGAGGAAUACUCAGUGCGAAGGCGACCUGCUAGAACAUAACUGACGCUGAUGCGCGAAAGCGUGGGUAGCAAACAGGAUUAGAUACCCCGGUAGUC